GCUUCCAUAGCUCAGUGGUAGAGCAUUGUACUUAUGAGGAUAACAGAAAUUGACUUCUGCAGAUAUGCAAGGGUCUCGAGUUCGAAUCUCGGUGGAAGCA